UCUAAAUGUACACCCAGCCCUUCCAAAGCUUCUUGCUUUAAUGUAUUCUGAAUUUUUCACACAUGCGUACACACUGGGAAUGAUGAACAGCAGUUUUAAAAACACUUCGUGGAAAUGCCAAUUUCCAGAUGGAUUUGUUUUGCUACAAAGUUAGUUAGCACUUAUUCAUGAAAUAGCAAAUGGAGAGGAGAUACGGAGUGGGUACUUAUACCCAAAUAGGGUGAAACCUGCCAAGGAAUGGGGAGUCCAAAAGAGCCAAGAAAAUGAAGCAAGUACUCAAAAAAUCUUCUGAAGAUAGCUCAUCAAAGCCAGAAGAGAACAGAAAAGGCAAAACCCAACCGGUGUGCUAACUAGUGGAUAGAGUCAAACAAUGAGAGAGAGAUACAGAGAGAAAUGUCUUCCUCCUGUUGGUUUACCCCCCAAAUGGCUGCCACGGCUGGAGCUAUGCUGAUCCAAAGCCAGGAGCCAGGUGCUUCCUCCUGGUCUCCCAUGCGGUGCAGGGGCCCAAGCACUUGGGCCAUCCUCCACUGCCCUCCCAGGUCGCAGCAGAGAGCUGGACUGGAAGAGGAGCAACCAGGACUAGAACCUGGCGCCCAUAUGGAAUGCCAGUGCCACAGGAAGAUUUUUAUUUUGAGAUGGGAGACAGAGAGAGAAGAGAGAAGAGAGAAGAGAGAAGAGAGAAGAGAGAAGAGAGAAGAGAGAAGAGAGAAGAGAGAAGAGAGAAGAGAGAAGAGAAGAGAAGAGAAGAGAAGAGAAGAGAAGAGAAGAGAAGAGCUUCCAUCUCAUCUGCUGGUUCACUCACCAAAUGCCUUCAGUGAGUAGGGCUGGGCCAGCUUGAAGCUAGGAGCCUGGAUCUCAGUGCAGGUUUUCCACAGGGGUGACAGAGACCCAGUUAUCUGAGCUGUCACUGCUGCCUCCCAGGGUCUGCAUCAUGAGGUACAUAGAAUCAGAGGCAGGAGCCUGGGAGUGAACCCAUGUCCUCUGUUAUGGGACACAGGUGUUGCAACCACUAGGCUGAACACCUGUUCUGUUGCUCUUAUUCUUAUAGAAGUAACAACUAUCCAUUUUAGACAGUAGGAAAAGUGUAGUGUGUUUCAGAGAAAUUAAAAUGUAUGCUUGUUAUUCAACUACGAUAGGAAUUAAAAUUCAGUUUUUUCUAUAAUAUGUAAAUUCAUGCUCACAGGAAAACAUACAUAUAUAUAAGUAUGAAUAUAAAUAUUCACACACAUUCAUACUUUAACAAAUUUUAAAUAUGCAUUGAUUGCUUCCUAUAUGGAAGGCUCUAUGUUUGAGGUUUUGUUGCCAGAGCCGACAGAUAAUAUUUAGGAAAUAUGAUCAUGCUUAAGAUACUAAUAAUAGUGUUAGCAGGAAAUUUGUUGUCAAUUUGGCACCUAAUAUGAUUCCUCUUUGGGUCCCUUAGUCCAGGAAAGCAUUUAUUUUGUAGCCCUAAGCUUUACUGCUGCCAUAAACUAAAAGAAAUAAAUCUCUCUCCAUCCCUAAAGUAACACACUUAGCCUCCAAGCAAACCACUAUCUCCUUGUUUAAUAAAACAAAGGAAAACCUUGUGUAUUACAUUUUUAAAGAGCUAUACCUUGGCUUUAAAGUCAGAUUUGUGUUUGAGUCCUCAGUCUGCCACUUAUUAACUUUAUGACCUUGGACAAGUCACAGAAAUUCUGAGCCUUAGUGUCUUCAUUUUUAAAAUGAAGAUAAUAUCUACCUUGCAGUUGCCAGGAGUGUUAAUGUAUUUUUUAAAAGCCUUAUAAAAUGCUUGCCAAUAUUUUCUUUUGCAUUUUUAAUUAGUUUCUGUUUUAUUAUAAAAAUAAUAUGAGUUUCUUGUAAAAAUUUUGAUCAGUACAAAAAGGCAUAGAGUAAAAUGUUGAAGUUCUUUCCCAACAAAUGCACCCUUGUUCUUCUCCCUGGUAAGUCUCACUGCCCUAAGAAAUAAAAUUAAAUUCUCAGGCAUUACUUCUAGGAACAUUCUACAUUUCCAUGACUGGCAAUAAUUUUGGAGAUUUCAUAUAAACAUCAUAUAGUAAGAAAGCUGAAAUGUCCAGAAUAUUUCAUUUUUAUAGCUUGUUUUUAAAUAUAUAUUUUAAAAUUUUAAUUUAUUUUAUUUGUUUGAAAGGCAGAGAGAUUUGGAGAGACAGAGAGAGAAAGAGAUGCACAGAGAGAGAAAUCUUCCACCUAUUGGUUCACUCCCCAGAUGCCUGCAACAGUUAGGACUGGGCCAGACCAAAACCAGGAGCUGGGAACUAUGUUUAUGUUUGCACAUGGGUGGAGGAACCCAAGCACUUGAAUUGUCAUCAUCUUUCGUCUCCUUGGGUGUGAAUUAGCAGCAAGCUGGAUUUGGAAAUUAAGAAGUAGGAGAAGGUUUUCAGAGGCUUGUCACCUGCAAUUUAAGUUGAGAGCAGCGGUGAGUGUUGUGGUGCAGCAAGUUAAGCCACCAGCCAUGUGGGAGCGUUAUUUUGAGUCCCCGCAGCUCCACUUCUGAUUCAGCUACCUGCUAAUGUACCCAGGAAGCAACAGAUGAUGGCCAAAGUUCUUGAGUUCCUGCCACACAUAUGGGAGACCCAAUGGAGUCCCUGGCUCCUGGCUCCACCUGGUCCAGUCCUGGCUACUGGGGCCAUCUGGGAAAUGAACCAGCCGAUACGAGAUGUCUUUCUCUCUUCCUCUCUGUGUCACUCUGCCUUUCAAAUCAAUCAAUCUAUAAGUAACUACAUCUUAGAAAAAACUAACAAUAAACAUUUAAUAUAGGAGUUAUUGUUUUAAAUUUUCUUGACAAGGCAUAAGUAUGGAAAUGUUAAACAAUUAUUAGGUAUUUUGUGUAAAAAAUGAAAUUCCCUUCUCAAAGUCCUCUGAGAAAUGGUGACUUGAUCAGCCCUCACCCUGACUGUUGAUGAGCAACUUAAUAUGUUAUCCCUUUUAGUAUUUUUUUUUGUUUGUUCUACUUAAUACUUUUGGUUGAAUACUGUAAUCAAUACACAAUUAUUCUUAAGUGCUGAAACUUAACUGAAAAGUGAUCACUGUUAUUAUAAGAGUGGGAAUAAGAGAAGAAAGAGAUGUGCAAUUCCGGACGUGCUCAAGCUGACUUACCUCAAAUGGUAGAGUUAGAAACAUACCAGGGGAUUCCAACUCAAUCCCAUCAAGGUGGCAUGUACCAAUGCCAUCUCACUAGUCCCAGUGAUCAAUUUCUGUUCACAAUUGAUCAUAAUGAUAGGACUAAGAACCAAAGGGAUCACAUAAACAAGACUAGUGUCUGCAAAUACUAGCUGAUAGAAUAAAAAAGGGAGAGAACAUGGGAAGUGAGAUACACAGCAGACCCAUAGAAUGGCAGAUGUCCUAAACAGCACUCUGGCCUCAGAAUCAGCCCUUAAGGCAUGCGGAUCCGGCUGAAAUGCCCAUGAGAGUAUUUCAGGCAUGGAAAGCCAAGACACUCUGGGGGAAAAAAAAAAAAAAAAACAAAUGAAAGAUCUCCGUGAGUGAGAUCCCAGUGGAAAAAAUGGGUCAUCAAAGAAGGAGGUACCUUUCUCUGAAGGGAGGAGAGAACUUCCACUUUGACCAUGGCCUUGUCUAAAUAUGAUCAGAGUUGGCGAACUCAGGGGGCUUCCAUAGCCUUGGCAGUUCAUGACAAGAGCCUAGGGUGAUUACUGAUGCCAUAAACAAGAGUGUCAAAUUGUUAAGUCAACAACAGGAGUCACUGUGCACUGACUCCUCAUGUAGGAUCUUUGUCUUUAGUGUGCUGUACAUGGAGAUUUAAUGCUAUAACUAGUACUUAAACAGUAUUUUUCACUUUAUGUUUCUGUGUGGGAGCAAACUGUUGAAAUCUUUACUUAAUGUAUGCUAAACUGAUCUUCUGUAUAUAAAGAGAAACAAAAAUGAAUCUUGAUGUGAAUGGAAGGGGAGAGGGAGUGGGAAAGGGGAGGGUUGCGGGUGG